UGUGGAUCAAAAACAAUAGAAAGCAAAAGCAGGUUAGACUCUAAAAGAGCACUUUUUUUCAUAGAAGAGCGUAAAAAUUGUCAAUUAAUGAAACAUUUAUGCUGACAAUACUAUCCUUUUCUCUUAUGCUUCGUUCAAUUUCCACCUUUCCCUAUUUCUCUUGCGCUCUCUCCUCUCCCUCUCAUCUGGUUCGGGCAUAGACCCAUCUAUCCUCUUCAUCUCCUCCGGUUCAAGCACUCUUCACCAACAACAGGAUGGCAAAAAAGGUGGGAACUUCAGCAAGAGCUCCACAUGGUACAUGCAAUGAUCAUAAUAUAUCCGUAUUCAGUGAGUUGUGCAUCAAGGAUGUUGAGGUCGGACGUUGUCUUGGCCCUCACUUUAACAAAAAGAAAAGGCAGUGAUUCAAAUCAAGAUUUAUCUGGUACCCCAUCUAAAAAUCACAAAAA